rnacentral:rRNA from 1 species
UACGAAGGGGGCUAGCGUUACUCGGAUUGACUGGGCGUAAAGCGCGUGUAGGCGGUCCGGUAAGUCCGCUGUGAAAGUCGGGGGCUCAACCCUCGAAUGCCGGUGGAUACUGUCGGGCUAGAGUGCGGAAGAGGCGAGUGGAAUUCCUGGUGUAGCGGUGAAAUGCGCAGAUAUCAGGAGGAACACCAAUUGCGAAGGCAGCUCGCUGGGACGUAACUGACGCUGAGACGCGAAAGCGUGGGGAGCAAACAGG